rnacentral:pre_miRNA from 1 species
AUGUAGGGCAACCUGUCUUCAAGAGGAAGUAAAUUACUCUUGUUAAAAAUAAUCCUAGAUAGUGUUCCCUUCAUGGCUAGCAUCUUGU